rnacentral:rRNA from 1 species
AGAGUUUGAUCCUGGCUCAGGACGAACGCUGGCGGCGUGCCUAAUACAUGCAAGUCGAGCGAAUCGAUGGGAGCUUGCUCCCUGAGAUUAGCGGCGGACGGGUGAGUAACACGUGGGCAACCUGCCUAUAAGACUGGGAUAACUUCGGGAAACCGGAGCUAAUACCGGAUACGUUCUUUUCUCGCAUGAGAGAAGAUGGAAAGACGGUUUCGGCUGUCACUUAUAGAUGGGCCCGCGGCGCAUUAGCUAGUUGGUGAGGUAAUGGCUCACCAAGGCGACGAUGCGUAGCCGACCUGAGAGGGUGAUCGGCCACACUGGGACUGAGACACGGCCCAGACUCCUACGGGAGGCAGCAGUAGGGAAUCUUCGGCAAUGGGGGCAACCCUGACCGAGCAACGCCGCGUGAGUGAAGAAGGUUUUCGGAUCGUAAAGCUCUGUUGUAAGUCAAGAACGAGUGUGAGAGUGGAAAGUUCACACUGUGACGGUAGCUUACCAGAAAGGGACGGCUAACUACGUGCCAGCAGCCGCGGUAAUACGUAGGUCCCGAGCGUUGUCCGGAUUUAUUGGGCGUAAAGCGAGCGCAGGCGGUUUGAUAAGUCUGAAGUUAAAGGCUGUGGCUCAACCAUAGUUCGCUUUGGAAACUGUCAAACUUGAGUGCAGAAGGGGAGAGUGGAAUUCCAUGUGUAGCGGUGAAAUGCGUAGAUAUAUGGAGGAACACCGGUGGCGAAAGCGGCUCUCUGGUCUGUAACUGACGCUGAGGCUCGAAAGCGUGGGGAGCGAACAGGAUUAGAUACCCUGGUAGUCCACGCCGUAAACGAUGAGUGCUAGGUGUUGGAUCCUUUCCGGGAUUCAGUGCCGCAGCUAACGCAUUAAGCACUCCGCCUGGGGAGUACGACCGCAAGGUUGAAACUCAAAGGAAUUGACGGGGGCCCGCACAAGCGGUGGAGCAUGUGGUUUAAUUCGAAGCAACGCGAAGAACCU